UCCGUCUCAAAAAAAAAAACAAAAAAAAAACAAAAAAAGAUAUAUCACUGCACGUCCACUAGAAUGACUAAAACUAAAACACUAAAAAUACCGAGUGUUGGCAGGGAUGUGGAGCAAUCUUCUACAUUACUGGUGGGCCUGUGGAUUGGUACAACCACAUUGAAAAACCAUUUGGCAGUAUCUACACCAAAACUAAACAUAUGGCCAUGUAUGACCCUCAGUGUAUUUAAUCAUGAGCUCCAUAACAACAUUUGUGCCAAUGACAGACCACAUAUACCAAGCUGGUCCUAUAAGAUUAUGAUGGAGCUGAAAAAUUCCUAUCACCUAGCGAUGAUGUAGAGGAAUGCAUCCAUGCAUUUCUAUGUAUAGAUGUGUUUGGGUACACAAAUUACCAUUGUGUUACACUGCCUGCAGUGUUCAAUACAGUAACAUGCUGUACAGGUCUGUAGCCUGGCAGCAAUAGGCUAUCCCAUUUAGCCUAGGUAAGCAGUAGGCUAUGCCGUGUAGGUUUGUGGAAGUACACUCUUAACGAUGCAUUUCUCAGAAUGUAUCCCCAUCGUUAAGUGGUACAUGAUUGUACUUAUUUAUUUAUUACUAUUUUUUCAAUUCUUUUGGUUAUAGCCAACCUAGUGGGUGUAAAAUGGUAUUUCAUUAUCAUUUUGAUUUGCAUUUCUCUGACUAAAGAUAUUGAGCAUCCUUUCACAUUCUUUUUGUUUUUUCAAAUCUUUAAACCAAUGUCUCCCAACCCUGUCUCCCCUUCCUCCCCAGCAUUAGUCCUGGAGCAGAAAAAUAGAUUCCCAGAACAAAUUGGAAUUUAGAAAAUGACAGCUGUGGCCCUUCAAAUCAGUGGGGACAGUGGCGUGGGAGUGGCAGGGCUGGGGUGCACGGUGCACCUGGCUGGCUGGUGCUCUGUGCUCUGCUUCAGCCCAAGCUGCCUCCAUGGGUCCCCCUCACUGCACCGCUGAGGUCUGGGUAGGUGUAGGUUUCCACUUAGCACCUGGCUGAGCUCUGGAAUAAGUCGGUUGCUGGGGGCAGGAAUUUCGGCCAUGAGCAGCUAGGACAGGUUUGCCCACUGAUUUAAAAUAUCACCUUUUGAUGCUGACCUCAGCAGCAUUCUGUCUUCAUUUAUAAUAGGGGAUACUUAGAAAGUCUGUUGAUUACAUUGACUUAAAUCUUUUAUUCAUGAUUUAUGAUCUUUUAUCCCCCCCAGAAAGAGAGUGGAAGACAUGAAGUCUGAGGGCAUUUGGACUUGAAGCAGGGCUUGUUGAUCUGCCUGUCUAGUGCCUGGCAUGUGAGCUCACAGCCCAGCGUCACCCCUUUACAACUCUCUUUCCACCCCACGACCACGCAUCGUUGGAAUGCACUCCGGUUCAUGUCUGCCUUCGCUGCUGGACGUUUAUGUUGAGCAGGUAAGGCCUAGGUUCCAGCAUUCAGUCAUCAAGUCUUGUUACAGAAAUAAAUGAAUGAAUGGCUGAA